rnacentral:lncRNA from 13 species
AUGACAGCUAUUGAAAAACUAGCCCUGAUCUGGAGCCUGUGGGCGGCAGUGAUCUUCGCAGCUGGAGUUGAUGAGCACCUUUGCCCCAAAGGAGCCCAGGUCCAUCUUGCUAGUCUGCAAUGCUAUUGGCUGUCAGAGUCAGCGACAUCAUGGCUGGAGGCGAAGGGUAUCUGUCGUCAGGUGAAGGGUGGGGAUCUAGCCACAGUCCGAAGCACUGAAACUCAGACAUUCAUCCACAACUCCUUCAAAUCAAAAUCCACUGAGUGGGUCUGGCUGAGGGAUGGCAGGGGAGAAGGGCCGGAUAGAAGCGAGGGUUUGGGAACAGGAAAACACCCUGGGCGGGACAGGGACAGGGGCAGGGAGAGCCUGGGGGGCUGUACCCAGAUGGACCUGGGUUCACCAGGACAGAGGAGGAACACAGUGUGUGAUGGACAGUACCUCUUCCUCUGUGAUAAGGUGGUUACAGGUGAGACUGCAUGGAGAGUGUACUGCAUUAAUAUGUCAUCGCAAACUAUAAUUCAGAAUGAAAUGUGUUUGUUGUCUUCAUAGGGAGACCUACGGGGUGUAACAUUGUCAUAAAUUAACACAUUAUAUUGCGGUGUGCUAAUGGGUGUGUGUAUGUUACCUCUGUCUCCUGUAGUUUCCCUGCCUUCGUUAGACAGCUACCUCACAGGUGUUCCUCUCAUGUCGGGUGUGUACGCCAGGUCACAGCUACAAGUCCUCCCUACAGUCCCAGACCCUGACCAAAAGAGAGUGGAGGUGAGUGACAUAAUAUUUCACACUGAUGGAACCGAUUAUGAUACUUGUUGUUGUUGUUGAUUGACCUACGGGACUGCAUUCAUAUUAGGAGGUCGUCAGAUUUCAGGCAAAACUCUUGAUAUGGAUGUCAUUCUGAUGGCAUCACCUUGUGUCGGCUUUGACCACAGCCAUGUUAAAAUCCAAUUUACCCCCCCCCCCUUCUGUCUGAUUACUUUAUUAUCCUCCCCUCAGAUGCUGCUGUUUCCUGGGCUGUGGUUCAGCCAUGCUGGCCAGGUGGCAUCAGUGGAGCUGGUCAGCCAGCCCAGAGAAGUGUCCACCUGGGUCAGAUUUCAGAUCCUCCGGCCCUACUGCAGCCCCCACCAUCACCUGGUGCCCCCAGGUAAAAAAAAUAAAUAAAAACAACAACACCUUACAGAGCAGGAAGUUUUUGAGGAAAUUAAAUAUUUUCAGUCUGGAAAAACACCAGAGCUUGAGAGUAUACCAGUAGAGGUAUAUCAGACCUUUGUUGAUGUACUCAUAGAUACAUUAUUUGCAUGUUUUAAUUACUCCCAUAAAAAUGGUAGACUUUCAGGUACUCAAUAAGAUGACUUGAUUUCAUUACUGCUGAAACAGGAUCCAGGUGGUAAAUAUAAAGAUCCAGUCCAUUUAAAAACGGGAGGCCUCUUACACUUCAGUGUUGUGUUGGGAAAAUCCUGGUGAAAUGCAUAGCACAUAGAACAAACAAGGUUUUACCAGAUAUUGUUCAUCCUGAUCAUGCAAGUUUUUUACAUGGACGAUAUAUUGGAGACAGUAUACGACAAUUACUUGAAACAAUUGAACAUUGUGAAACAGGAUCCCAGGCCUGGUCUUCAUAGCAGAUUUUGAAAAGGCUUUUGAUAAAGUAGGACUAGAAUAUAUACAUAUACUGUGCCUUUGGAAAUGAUUCAGACCCUGUUACUUUAUCCACAUUUUGUUACGUUACAGCCUUAACCUACAUUUUUUUUUUUAAAUCCUCAGAAAAUCUACACACAAUACCCCAUAAUGACAAAGCCAAAAUAGGUUUCUAGAAUCUUUUACAAAUGUAUUAAAAAUAAAAAAAGAUAAAUACCUUAUUUACAUAAGUAUUCAGACCCUUUGCUAUGAGACUCAAAAUUGAGCUCAGGUGCAUCCUGUUUCCAAUGAACAUCCUUGAGUUGUUUCUACAAGUUGAUUGGAGUCCACCUGUGGUAAAUUCAGUUGAUUGGACAUGAUUUGGAAAGGCACACACCUGCCUAUAUAAGGCCCCACAGUUGACAGUGCAUGUCAGAGCAAACACCAAGCCAUGAGAUCGAAGAAAUUGUCUGUACAGUCGUGGCCAAAACUUUUGAGAAUGACACAAAUAUUAAUUUUCACAAAGUCUGCUGCCUCAGUUUGUAUGAUGGCAAUUUGCAUAUACUCCAGAAUGUUAUGACGAGUGAUCAGAUGAAUUGCAACUAAUUGCCAUGCAAAUUAACUGAAUCCCCCCAAAAAACAUUUCUACUGCAUUUCAGCCCUGCCACAAAAGGACCAGCUAACAUCAUGUCAGUGAUUAUCUCGUUAACACAGGUGUGAGUGUUGACGAGGACAAGGCUGGCGAUCACUCUGUCAUGCUGAUUGAGUUUGAAUAACAGACUGGAAGCUUCAAAAGGAGGGUGGUGCUUGGAAUCAUUGUUCUUCCUCUGUCAACCAU